CGAGCCGUUCGUGCGGAUCAGCUUUACACGUGAAGGAACGUUCCAGAUCCGUUGAUGUGGAUCGUUAGGGUGAGCCGAGGAGUCAUUAUUUGUUUCCUCAAGGAGCCCGAAGCGAGGCGACAAAAGGUCUGUUAAAAAUGAGACUGUGGCUUUCUGGCCCAUUAGCCUGAGGGAGAAGCUCUGGCCGCGGUCUUCCAUUACUCUGGCAUCUCUAUCCCCUCCAGAGGAAGCGUUCCGGCCUCACAGCCGUUCAUCAUCCCGAUACAUGUAAGGAAUCUCUUCCUCCAGGCCAGGAAUAUGACGCUGUUGGAAGUUUCACACUGAUGGAGCAACACUGACACCCAGCGGUCAAUGGAUGUAUUUCACACACACAUCAACCCUGUUAUCCACAUUUUCAUCAUCUCAUCAGAAAAUACAAAUUACUGACAAUGUUGUGGAAAGACAAAGAAAGAGAAGAGAAG